rnacentral:rRNA from 1 species
GGUAAUUUAAUCUUAUAAUCAAAAUAAAUGGAUCAAAUUAAUAUAAAUAAAUAUAUAAAAACAAAGAGGAGUUAAAUAUUAUUCCUCCCAUCACCCCAACAAAACAAUAUUUCCUACUCAACACAACAAAAACAAACAACGAACAAAUAAAAAAAUUGUCAAACUCUAUAGGGUCUUCUCGUCCCAUAAAAACAUUUAAGAAUUUUAACUCAAAAACCAAAUUCAAUAAACCAAUACCUCUAAGACAGUCAAUGUCUCGUCAAGCCAUUCAUACCAGAUCACAAUUAAAGAACUAAUGAUUAUGCUACCUUUGCACGGUCAAAAUACCGCGGCCCUUCAACUAACAGUCAGUGGGCAGGCAUACUUCAAAAACUAACAAGAAAAGAUGUUUUUGUUAAACAGGCGGACAUAAAAUUUGCCGAAUUCCUCAAAAGCAAUUAACACUAUCAAUCAACAAAACAACCAACAAAAUUUACUAAUUACACCAUAAUUACCAUACAAACCAAAAGUAAAGAAAACAUUUUCAAUAAAUAACUUAAAUACCCAAUAAUUAAAAAGAACAAAUAAAAUUUUAACAUAAUCAAAUAGAAAAUCACUAUAAAAUCCACAAAACUAAAUUAAACCAUAACUAAUUAUAAAAAUAAAACAAGGAGCUAAUCCCCCUCAAUCUUAACAUCAAAUAAAAUUUAAUAAACCAACAAUAAAAAUUAAAUGAGACACAUGAAUUAAA